UACGUAGGGGGCAAGCGUUGUCCGGAAUUAUUGGGCGUAAAGAGCUCGUAGGCGGUCUGUCGCGUCGGAUGUGAAAAUCAGGGCUCAACCCUGGACCUGCAUUCGAUACGGGCAGACUAGAGUUCGGCAGGGGAGACUGGAAUUCCUGGUGUAGCGGUGAAAUGCGCAGAUAUCAGGAGGAACACCGGUGGCGAAGGCGGGUCUCUGGGUCCGAAACUGACGCUGAGGAGCGAAAGCGUGGGGAGCAAACAGG
rnacentral:rRNA from 1 species